rnacentral:sRNA from 1 species
GGAUGAGAGGGUGAUCUGGCUGCAACAUCGGUCAUCCUGUUGAUCUUCAGACUUGAUCUGACUAAUCUGGUCCAUUUGGUGGGUAUUACCUUCCUCCCUCAUCACUUCCUUCCCGAAAAUGCAUAAAGAUGGUAGAAGAGGACAACCAUACUUGAUAGAAGGAGUGUCAUUCUUCAGUCAAGGUUAUAUGAUAGCUGCUCUCUCCUGCUAGAACCUUUAAACAAGCUCAUAUACUAAAUAUCACUCGUUACAGGGACUGCUCCAAACAAGUGUUAUAGCAGUGUUCCCUU